CAAGUCGAACGGGAAUCUUCGGAUUCUAGUGGCGGACGGGUGAGUAACGCGUAAGAAUCUAACUUCAGGACGGGGACAACAGUUGGAAACGACUGCUAAUACCCGAUAUGCCGCGAGGUGAAACCUAAUUGGCCUGAAGAAGAGCUUGCGUCUGAUUAGCUAGUUGGUGGGGUAAGAGCCUACCAAGGCGACGAUCAGUAGCUGGUCUGAGAGGAUGAGCAGCCACACUGGGACUGAGACACGGCCCAGACUCCUACGGGAGGCAGCAGUGGGGAAUUUUCCGCAAUGGGCGAAAGCCUGACGGAGCAACGCCGCGUGAGGGAGGAAGGUCUUUGGAUUGUAAACCUCUUUCCUCAAGGAAGAAGUUCUGACGGUACUUGAGGAAUCAGCCUCGGCUAACUCCGUGCCAGCAGCCGCGGUAGUACGGGGGAGGCAAGCGUUAUCCGGAAUUAUUGGGCGUAAAGCGUCCGCAGGUGGUCAGCCAAGUCUGCUGUCAAAUCAGGUUGCUUAACGACCUAAAGGCGGUGGAAACUGGCAGACUAGAGAGCAGUAGGGGUAGCAGGAAUUCCCAGUGUAGCGGUGAAAUGCGUAGAGAUUGGGAAGAACAUCGGUGGCGAAAGCGUGCUACUGGGCUGUAUCUGACACUCAGGGACGAAAGCUAGGGGAGCGAAAGGGAUUAGAUACCCCUGUAGUCCUAGCCGUAAACGAUGGAUACUAGGCGUGGCUUGUAUCGACCCGAGCCGUGCCGAAGCUAACGCGUUAAGUAUCCCGCCUGGGGAGUACGCACGCAAGUGUGAAACUCAAAGGAAUUGACGG
rnacentral:rRNA from 1 species